CCUAGGAAGUUGUACCAAGUGUAAACCAAAAUGGAGGAGAGUUCAAUGUUCUAUGGUUUUAAAAACAUUUAUGUUACUAUUUUUGCUCUCUUUUUUUUCUUUAAGCUCUUAAUUAAAAUUUUUUUGGCUCUCUUAACUCAUUUCUAUAUCGUCAAAGGGAACAGAAAAGAAGCUGCCAGGAUAUCAGAAGAGAUCUAUGGAGGAAUUUCAGAAUCCUGGGCUGACCGAUCCCUGCUUCAUGAAGCUGCAUCUCAAGGACGUCUCCUUGCUCUCAAAACUUUAAUUGCACAAGGAAUUAAUGUGAACCUUGUGACAAUAAAUCGCGUCUCCUCUCUUCAUGAAGCCUGUCUUGGGGGCCACGUUGCAUGUGCAAAAGUAUUACUGGAGCAUGGUGCCCACGUGAAUGGAACCACUGUGCAUGGAAUCACACCUCUCUUUAAUGCCUGCUGUAGUGGCAGCCCAGCCUGUGUCAACCUACUCCUUGCAUUUGGAGCCAAGCCACAAUUGGAUGAUCACCUGGCUUCACCCAUCCAUGAGGCUGUGAAGAGAGGUCACAAGGAGUGUAUGGAAAUCCUGCUGGCAAAUAAUGUUAAUAUUGACCAAGAAGCUCCCCAGCAUGGAACUCCACUCUAUGUGGCCUGCAGCUAUCAGAGGACAGACUGUGUCAAGAAGCUCCUUGAGCUAGGAGCCAGUGUUGACCAAGGCAAAUGGUUAGAUACCCCACUGCAUGCAGCAGCCAGGCAAUCCAGUGCAGAAGUCAUUGAUCUAUUAGCAGACUAUGGUGCAAGCCUGAGACGCUUAAAUCAUCAAGGCAAGUGUGCUCUUGAUCUGGCAGCUCCCCAGAGCAGUGUGGAACAGGCACUCCUCCUUCGGGAAGGAUUUGGGGAUUUUAGAGUCAGAAGAGGCCAUCUUUUGAAGAGGAAUCUCUUAUAAACAAAGUCAUCGCUCCUCUUAUCUCUUCUUUAAAUGUCACAGUUUGCUGCAGAAAGAACACUAGAUAUAUAAGAGUUCACUCUAGUGUCUGAAAUUUUCUAGGCAACCUGGAAUAUCUGUCUGCAUUAUUAUCCUCCAAAGAAGUUUAAGUUUGGCAACUGCUCAAGAAGUCUCCCCUGUCUUGGGUCCCAAAAUUUUAAAUAAAAUCAAUAGGUUGGUUCACAAGGUCUCCGCCUUUGUGUGGUAAGGAUGAAGAAAUGUUUCAGAAUAUGUUCUCCAACACAAAAGUGCCUUUUUCUCUUCUUCAUUCCUUUUCGUUUUUUUUUAAAGAAGAGCUCUAUAUCAUAAUAACCUUUCCUAUUGUAAGUGUUCUCAUAUUUCUUGUUUAGUUCCAUCAAAAAUUCUUCCAGAUACAGGUUUCCUCUAUGGAGCAUCUUGAUUGUAGCAUCCACAUGAUCCAGGUUCCUUGUUGGGAGACUCAAAGACUCCUCUGGCUAUGACUUGAGAUCCAGCCAAUACCACCUAAUGGUCAGUUAAAAAGAAUAAUUCCCUCAUGUUUCUCCUUCAAGCCCAAAUUCAACAUAUCCUGAACACAGGACUAUAGAUAACCACUUCCAUCUCCCAAUAGUCUGUGCUGACAUGGGUAGUGUUUCUUGCUAGACUCCUAUCUGUAACUGUUUUCCAGCUUCACAAUUCUGUCUCCAGACCUGUAUAGGCCAAAUUUCAAUUGACAAUUUCCUGUUCAUAAACUUUUACUUAUUUUUUUGUUCAUAUAUGAUACAAGAAUGUCUUAUAUGAAUAACUCCAAUUAGAGGAGGACAUCUUAAAUUCCUUAGACAUUAAGGUGUUUUUACCUGGUGUUAAUAGCGUAAAUUUGCAUUUCUAACUUGCCUCUGGUAAACCUUAUCCUGCCAAUGUUCUGGUCACAUAAAAUCCAUUAAAACAAAUACUUCUUUUCCAAAAGAAUUGGCAUGGACUGUCUUUCCCAUUUAUGUUUUUUUUCCCCUAUGCUAUAACUUUAUAAUUCCUAAUCUGAAAAGAAUUUUUUAAUCUUUUUUUUUAAUCUUUUAUUUUUACAUUAUAUUUAUACUAUUGCCCUCUAUAGACUAAACGGUCAAAGAAAGACAAUUAAGCAAAGCAUCCAAUACAUCAACUACAUGUGAUGGUGUUUACAAUAUUUUGU